rnacentral:rRNA from 1 species
AGCUCCAAUAGCGUAUAUUAAAGUUGUUGCAGUUAAAAAGCUCGUAGUUGGAUUUCUGGCAGGAGGGACCGGUCACACACUCUGUGUGUGAACUUGGCUCCCUCUGGCCAUCCUUGGGGAGAUCGUGUUUGGCAUUAAGUUGUCGGGCAUGGGAUACCCAUCGUUUACUGUGAAAAAAUUAGAGUGUUUAAAGCAGGCUUAUGCCGUUGAAUAUAUUAGCAUGGAAUAAUAAGAUAGGACUUUGGAACUAUUUUGUUGGUUUGCGUUACAAAGUAAUGAUUAAUAGGGACAGUUGGGGGUAUUCGUAUUUCGUUGUCAGAGGUGAAAUUCUUGGAUUUCCGAAAGACGAACUACUGCGAAAGCAUUUACCAAGGAUGUUUUCAUUA